GUACAGAAUUGUGAUCUUAUACAACUAUUAUUUAUUUUUAAAGUAAUUUUUGUAAGCAUUGGGGGGUCGUGAAGAUUCUAUCAGUGAGUAUUUGUUCUCGAAAGGGCUAUGAUUAAUAUUGAAUAAUCAGACAUAGUACGCUAAGGUUGUAUGUCUAAAGGGAAACAGCCCAGAGCAAGUGUAAAUAAGGUUCCAAAAUUAUUAUUAAGUGAAAUAAAGGUAGUUUAUGUCUUAAACGGCCAGGAAAUGGGCUUAGAAGCGGCCAUUUUUUAAAGACCUCGUAACAGAGCACUGGCUUUGUCCUAUAAUUUAGGAUAAAUUAGAUUUAAAUUUCUUAGAUCUAAUUUACAUGGAUAUGAGCACCGACGAUACAACGGAUCUAAAUAAUAUACCGAUACCUUGUCCAUAAAAAUAUAUACUUAUUAUCUGUAUUAGAUAAGUUAUUUGAAAAAGCAAACAGACAUGCAGUAAUGAAAGAGAAUUAAAUCGAAAAAUUUUUUUUUUAGUUUAUUUUUUUUUAGAUAAAAAAAAAUUAAUAUAAUAACAUGUAUAUCGUUUUAUGGGGUAGCGGAACAUUGGGUAUGCCACAUACUUUUAUUAUAUAAAUAAAAUAAGGUAUCCCAAGARAGAAUGCUGACWUGAGUAACGAUAAAGGGAAAAAUCCCUCGCCUAAAGCUUAUGGUAUUUAGUUAAAGUAACGGCCUCUAAGUUUAUGUUUUAGUAUAACCUAAGGGAUUAAACGAUGAGCAAAUCUAGAAAGGCAUAAUAAACAACAUUUAAACACUUUUAGCGAUAAAAGUAUUAAAGUGAUAAGUGUUCUGGAAAAUUGCACUUUCGACAUUUUCUAAUAACAACAAACUAAAAAGAGUGAGUUUUAGAAAAAAAAAAAAUGAACCCAAUAAACUAAAAAGAUGAGGUAAUCGUAAGUGGUAGUUUAAAUAUAAAAUAUAAAUAUAGCCAGAAGAGAGAAGAGAAGAGAUGUGAAAAUUUUUAUAAUUAAGUUUACCGUACCUAAAAACUACCACAAGUAAGCAAGUAGAGAAUACG
rnacentral:rRNA from 1 species